rnacentral:tRNA from 2 species
GCUCGCGUGGCGGAAUUGGUAGACGCGCUAGAUUCAGGUUCUAGUGAGAGCAAUCUCGUGGAAGUUCGACUCUUCUCGUGAGCA